CGCGAUGAAGCUCCGACCCAGGAUGGACGUAGGCUAGAAUCUUCCCGCUCUCCAGACAGACACCACGCGAUGGUCACUCUGCUAAGCAGGCAACGGAAGCACAGCAGUCAGUAACUAACUCGCCAUGGUCAGAACUGCCUCAAGUGGACUAACCGGAAGUUGAAUCCGAUAACCUGGCUUCUUGGUCAUGCUUUGAAACAGCACACACUGGAUUCUGCUGCCUCUCCGAGCAUCUCAGAUCUUUGCCAGUUCCAUCUCUAGAUCACAGCGUCGGAUCUGCAAGGCACCGUGCUUGGCUGUGCCCUGUGACACGACCGACCUUGCUUGAUGGUGAGGCUACCUAGAAGUCGGGCC